rnacentral:tRNA from 1 species
AAAGACUAAGCUUUAUAAUUAAAUAAGCAACUUUCUUACAAUAAGUAGAUUAUUGUCUUUA